UAGUACUAUAUAUAGGACUAUAACAGUUGGUUCAGUGUGCGAAACAUAAAACCGACGUGCUGACCCAUAAUAGGGUGCGCAGUCGGCGAACACAGCAUACCUCCUGUCACCUUCGGAGCAGCAACUUGAUGAUAUCACAGUUACAUCACAGUAACAGUUUUUUUACGGACAAUUGAUUCCGGAUGUUCUAGUAAAUAAACUACUAUGCACCAAAUAACUAAAAUUAUUGGCCCUCAACUAGUGGUACAACCACCCACGCAAAUAUGUAUUGGUAAGUUGUUGGACAAAUACGGGCAGCAAAAGAAGACAGCAGCGCGGGAAAAAAGAAGGGAAAUAAAUAACAUGUAAAUAGUGUAAAUAUAAUAUAAGCUAGAGAUAAGGUAACAUUGUAACUAUCGAUCGAGAAAGCCCGAAACGAACAGACGUGAUAUAAGAAAAUAAAGAAAAUAUAAAUUUUACGUAUCAGAGCGAGAGAACGAGUUUUUCCAAGUAGAGGCCACCAUUUAUCAACUGCAGGCGAAAUGUAUAAUGGACAAUCAGAAAUCAACCAAACUGGAGAAUCAGAACAUUGCGCAGUCAAGCCGUGAAAUUUGGAAAUGAAGACUCUAUACCUGGAGGAGUUGAACCUGGAUAAAACCUUUUCCGAAGUAGCAAAACCUUCGAGAGCGGGCGGCGAGGCUGGUUUUAGUGGCGAAAUUGUAAAUGCGUAAGAAAGAGACGGCGAUAGUGUGCUGCAGAAUGGCGACUGAGUGGCGGCAUAUGAUGAAAUUCAGGAAGGUUCUGACAUGGCGGAGGGGAGCUUGCAGCGUCGUGAUCGAGUGAUGGCGAAUGUCGAGGCAGUAAUACAUUUGCAGCAUGUUGAGAAGCUGUAUCAGCGAGUAGCUGAUUUAGAAUAUGCCUUGGGCCAAACUUAAUCAGCUCAAGAAGACAGCAUCUGUAUGGUAUUUUAAAAAAAUAACAUUUUUAAUUCAUAAAUAACAUUUCUAAUUCAGGUAAAUAAUAAUAAAAGGUAACAUAUUUUUCAUAA